rnacentral:lncRNA from 1 species
AAAGCAUAAAAUUAUUUAGAAUUUAUAAAAUAUUUUAAUUAUUGUAAAUAUUGAUAUGUGUUCAUGAGUUUCCAAAAAUGUAUCACUAACUUAUGUAUGUAACUUUAUAUUGAUCAUCGCUUUAUUUUCUGAUAUUUUGUUUAAAAAAAUCAACAUAUAAUUUGAUAAAUAUUAUGAAACAUGCACAUUUAAACGAUAAACAAAAUUAAUCUCACUUAAGUUAAUUAUAGGGGAAAUUGUCACAAAUACCACAUUCAUAAUACCACUUUUUAUGUUUACACU